GGACUACUCGGGUAUCUAAUCCUGUUUGCUCCCCACGCUUUCGUGCCUCAGUGUCAGUAUCUGUCCAGGAAGUCGCCUUCGCCACUGAUGUUCCUUCCGAUAUCUACGCAUUUCACUGCUACACCGGAAAUUCCACUUCCCUCUACAGUACUCUAGCUUUGCAGUAUCAGACGCAGUCCCCAGGUUAAGCCCAGGAAUUUCACAUCUAACUUACAUAACCACCUACGCACCCUUUACGCCCAGUAAUUCCGAUUAACGCUCGCACCCUCUGUAUUACCGCGGCUGCUGGCAC
rnacentral:rRNA from 1 species